GCCUCCGUAGCUCAGGGGAUAGAGCACCGCUCUCCUAAAGCGGGUGUCGCAGGUUCGAAUCCUGCCGGGGGCACGA
rnacentral:tRNA from 1 species